UGCAGCAAAUGUGGCCUUUCUAAGUCCU
rnacentral:piRNA from 1 species